UGUCUCUUUUAUUUAGUGUCUCAUGGUUUUUCUUGUCUUCUGGGGCUUCAGAGGGGAAUGGGCCUCUGCUUGGGCUGUUUGUCUUUGCCCUGGACAUGGUAGCUUCUCAUUUCAUGUCUUCUUUUUUUAUAUUUUUUACAGUUAAUUUUUUUUUCUUAGGGUCUUGCUCUGCCUCCCAGGCUGGAGUGUCAUCGUGUGAUCAUGGCUCCACUGCAGCCCUUUUGGCCUCCACUGGUUUUCCCAAGUCAGCAUCUUGAGUAGUGUAGACUAUAGGCUUAUGCCACAAUCCCUGACUAAUUUCUGAUUUGGUUUGAGAGGUUGGUUCUCACUCUGUUGCUUAGGGUGGUCUUAAACUUUGGACACAAGCAAUCCCCUUGCCUGGGCCUCUCCAUGUGCUGAGAUUACAGGCAUGAGCCACUGCACCCAGCCAGAAUAAAGUAUCUUUAAAUGGAAUCAUUUAGGUAUAUUGAAAAGUUUACUUUCAGGCCAGCCUGGCCAACAUGGUGAUACCCUGUCUCUACUAAAAAUAUAAAAUUAGCUGGGCAUGGUGAUGUGCACCUGUAAUCC